rnacentral:misc_RNA from 1 species
UACGGAGGUUGCAAGCGUUAUCCGGAAUCAUUGGGCUUAAAGGGUCCGCAGGCGGGAUAUUAAGUCAGUGGUGAAAGUCUGCAGCUCAACUGUAGAAUUGCCAUUGAUACUGUUAUGCUUGAGUGUUUAUGAAGUGGGUAGAAUAUGUAGUGUAGCGGUGAAAUGCAUAGAUAUUACAUAGAAUACCGAUUGCGAAGGCAGAUCACUAAUAAAAUACUGACGCUGAUGGACGAAAGCGUAGGUAGCGAACAGG